GACGAACGCUGGCGGCGUGCUUAACACAUGCAAGUCGAACGAAGAGCGAUGGAAGCUUGCUUCUAUCAAUCUUAGUGGCGCACGGGUGAGUAACGCGUAAUCAACCUGCCCUUCAGAGGGGGACAACAGUUGGAAACGACUGCUAAUACCGCAUACGAUCUAAUCUCGGCAUCGAGGAUAGAUGAAAGGUGGCCUCUACAUGUAAGCUAUCACUGAAGGAGGGGAUUGCGUCUGAUUAGCUAGUUGGAGGGGUAACGGCCCACCAAGGCGAUGAUCAGUAGCCGGUCUGAGAGGAUGAACGGCCACAUUGGGACUGAGACACGGCCCAGACUCCUACGGGAGGCAGCAGUGGGGAAUCUUCCGCAAUGGACGAAAGUCUGACGGAGCAACGCCGCGUGAGGGAUGACGGCCGUCGGGUUGUAAAGCUCUGUUAAUCGGGACGAAAGGCCUUCUUGCGAACAGUUAGAAGGAUUGACGGUACCGGAAUAGAAAGCCACGGCUAACUACGUG
rnacentral:rRNA from 1 species